rnacentral:ncRNA from 2 species
GAUUUCCAAUUGGGGUGCCCUAACACUACGGGCUGAGAUCAUACUCAUAGAACCUGCUCCGGGUAAUGCCGGCGAAGGGAAGUAGAGAAAACUUGAU